CUAAGCAGAGACUACUUAUCAGUAGAAUUGCUUUGAUUCUCCUUUCAAUGGGGAUUUCGAGGAAGUGAAGGAUGUUACAUCCCAUCUACUCUACUGACACUAGGAAGACUGCUUUAUACAAUGCAAGGCAACUCAUUGUCGUGCAUUAAGGGGAACAUGUUUUUCCUAGCAUAGUCUCUCUCUGAAAUUUAGACAGUCGUACAAUUCACCCUCUGUUAGAAGAUGGAACGAAGCAAGGUUUUCAUGUGAUGUCACCGCCUAUAUAAGAUGGGAUCAAUGAUUCACAGAGGGAAGUCUAAGCAGGGGCCAAAGCCCAGCAGAACCUGCUGAGGACACUGCUGCUGAAGAGGAGACUGGGUCCCUAGAUCACGGUCCAACAGCAGGGUGAAUUGCAGGAUUCCACCCUGGGAGCAGUACAAGAGUGGACCUGUCACUUGGAAAGGGUGACCAUAUAGAGACUGAGUGAGGGAUCAACAGUACAGCUGACCCUGGAACCCUGAGAGAGAGUGGCAGAA